UAUAUGCACAAUACCUUCAAUUGACCACAUACACAACAGCACAGAUAGCACCCCUCACUAUAUACACAAUUACUUCACACAACACACAUACACAGCACACACAAAACCCUGAACAUCACACAACAGACAGGCCACAACACAUUACCCCAGGCAGCACACACCACAAACAUAAAUAUUAGAAGCAAUCCACAUGCAAACAUUUAGCAUCACAG